rnacentral:rRNA from 1 species
GGGGGAAACUGACUCAACCGAGCGACUCUAUGUUUUAUAACUGGCUGCAGUAAUCUGACUGGACUAAGGGAGCAUAAUUAAUAAUUUUUUAAUUGGGGACUGGUAUGAAAGGAAUGUAACUCUAUAGAAGGUUUUGUAGAAAGAGCUUGAAUUUAAAUUAAAAGUAAAAAUGCUUUUAUUUAAUCUCGGGACGACAAGACCCUAUAAGCUUUUAAUUGAUAAAUUUUUGACUGGGGUGGUCAGUGAAGAUUUAGAUCUUUUCUUUUUAUAAGGAAAUGAAUAAUAAGUUACUCUAGGGUUAACAGCGUAAUAUAAUUUAAGAGUUCUUAUUUUAAAUUAAGUUUGCGACCUCUAUGUUGAAUUAAAUGUAAAUCACAUGACAGGAGUUUGAUUAAUGUAAACUGUUCAACUUAUAAA